rnacentral:lncRNA from 1 species
AAACAGAAGAUACAUAUGGGAGAUUCAUAGACAAAGAGUUGCCAAUUAUGUUACAAAGUGGAUUAUACCUGUAAGUGGAUCUCACUAAGCAUCUUUACACUAAAACAUGGUGUUGAGGUUCUGGAUGUAAAGUGGAAGAGUCCAUCAUCUCAGAGUAAGCUUAUGUUUAGGCUGUGAAAAAUGAAGGCUUGAAGAACAACAGCCUUAGAGAAAAGAAGACCAUGAAGUAAUCUUGUGUAUGUAUUAAAGAAUCAGCAAUAUAAUCAUUAUGACCUAAAUGAGUAGACUGAGUGGCAGAUCUAUUUCACUGA